rnacentral:rRNA from 1 species
GCUCAAGAACUACAAGGAAUUGACGGGGCCGCACAAGCGGUGGAGUAUGUGGUUUAAUUCGAUGCAACGCGAAGAACUUACCUGGUCUUGACAUCCCGGAGACCCUUAGGAAACUAGGGGUGCUUCCAUCUGGAAGAAUCUGGAGACAGGUGCUGCAUGGCUGUCGUCAGCUCGUGUCGUGAGAUGUUGGGUUAAGUCCCGCAACGAGCGCAACCCUUGCCUUUAGUUGCCAGCAGUUCGGCUGGGCACUCUAAAGGGACUGCCGGUGUUAAACCGGAGGAAGGUGGGGAUGACGUCAAGUCCUCAUGGCCUUUAUGACCAGGGCUACACACGUACUACAAUGGCCGAUACAAAGGGCAGCGACACUGCGAGGUGAAGCCAAUCCCGUAAAAUCGGUCUCAGUCCGGAUUGGAGUCUGCAACUCGACUCCAUGAAGUUGGAAUCGCUAGUAAUCGUGGAUCAGCAUGCCACGGUGAAUACGUUCCCGGGCCUU